GACGUCUACGAGUUUGAUCCUGGCUCAGAACGAACGCUGGCGGCAGGCCUAAUACAUGCAAGUCGAACGAUCCUUCGGGAUAGUGGCGCACGGGUGAGUAACACGUGGGAACAUACCCUUGGGUGCGGAACAACGUCGGGAAACUGACGCUAAUACCGCAUAAUGACUCCGGUCCAAAGAUUUAUCGCCCAAGGAUUGGCCCGCGCUAGAUUAGGUUGUUGGUGAGGUAACGGCUCACCAAGCCUACGAUCUAUAGCUGGUCUGAGAGGAUGAUCAGCCACACUGGGACUGAGACACGGCCCAGACUCCUACGGGAGGCAGCAGUAAGGAAUAUUGGACAAUGGGGGCAACCCUGAUCCAGCCAUGCCGCGUGAGUGAAGAAGGCCUUAGGGUUGUAAAGCUCUUUCAGGUGCGAAGAUAAUGACUGUAACACCAGAAGAAGCCCCGGCUAAAUUCGUG
rnacentral:rRNA from 1 species